GACAGGAAAAUGAAGAACUAAAACGCAACAUGUAAUACCAGGAACCACCUCCUUGGUUGGCUCAAUCUCCCUUGAGCCAACCUUUUC
rfam:Morganella morganii subsp. morganii KT, complete genome.